GAUGAACGCUGGCGGCGUGCCUAAUACAUGCAAGUCGAGCGAACAGACGAGGAGCUUGCUCCUCUGACGUUAGCGGCGGACGGGUGAGUAACACGUGGAUAACCUACCUAUAAGACUGGGAUAACUUCGGGAAACCGGAGCUAAUACCGGAUAAUAUAUUGAACCGCAUGGUUCAAUAGUGAAAGACGGUUUUGCUGUCACUUAUAGAUGGAUCCGCGCCGCAUUAGCUAGUUGGUAAGGUAACGGCUUACCAAGGCGACGAUGCGUAGCCGACCAGAGAGGGUGAUCGGCCACACUGGAACUGAGACACGGUCCAGACUCCUACGGGAGGCAGCAGUAGGGAAUCUUCCGCGAUGGGCGAAAGCCUGACGGAGCAACGCCGCGUGAGUGAUGAAGGUCUUCGGAUCGUAAAACUCUGUUAUUAGGGAAGAACAAAUGUGUAAGUAACUAUGCACGUCUUGACGGUACCUAAGCAGAAAGCCACGGCUAACUACGUG
rnacentral:rRNA from 1 species